AAAUUCAUUCUUAAAAUAGCCGCAAUAUGCAAUAUUAAAAAUAGCCUUACAAAUAAGGAGAUGCUUGCAUGUAGAAGCUGUAUAAGCUGUCUUGAUCUUAUCACACGUGAUAUUAGCAGUGAUUUCACAUAAAAUUGCUUAUUCAAUGCUAUCACAUGAUUCUAACCCAUCUGACUAUGGACUUAUCUCAUAGAGAAAAAGAAUACAACAUCUCAAGAAAUAAUGGCCUAUGCGUGAUUUUCAAUAAUGUCAACUUUAAAAAUAUGGAAAGAAGGCUUGGAAGCCAUGAAGAUUCCAUACAAAUCGCAGAAACAUUCAGAUCCUUGGGCUUUGAAGUGUACACACACAUUGAUUGCACUUGUGAACAAAUGCGUUACUACCUUUCAAAUUUGAGGAAUGGACAAAAUAACAUCUCUUGUCUGUUCAUUGUUUUUCUGAGUCAUGGUGACAAGGAUGGAAUAUAUGGAGUGAUGGAGGAACGCAUCACAUUCACCGAAAUACAGAGUUGCUUAGUUAUGCACUUGAGACAUUUAGAAAAUACGAUUCCAGUAGUAUUUAUUUUUCAAAGCUGUCGAGAUGGAGAAAGGCCAAGCAAGGAUAUAAUCAAAUACCCAAGACCUAUCAGUGAUCAUUUCUUGUUAGUAUUUGCAACACAGCCUCACUGCAAGGCUUAUCGGGACCAUGAAAAAGGCAGUCUCUUUAUACAGUGUCUCUUAGCUGCAAUAAAGGAGGAACCACAAGAGACAAACAUGCUAAGUAUCCUAACGCGCACUAACUGCCUGCUGGGAGAGUCAGAGUGGAACAAAGAGACUAAUCAACGCCUUCAGUUUAAUUCACUGUUGCUAAAAGAUCUUCAUCUACCAAUUAGGAGACAGCUACAAUAUGGCCAACUAGAUCGGAAUUCUUGCAGCAAUAGUGAUGUCAGCACAGAGAGCACACAAGGAGAAGAAGAAAGCUCAUUAUAUAGAACUAUCAAGCCAGGAUUUCCAACCACUAUUCUCAAAUGUGGGCUUUGCCUUAUAUUAAAUAACAGCUCACAUCACAAACAAGAAGCACAUGACAAGCUGAAGAAGAAAAUGGAGGAACAAGGCUACUGUGUUCUCUCCUUCAAUAACAUCAAUUGGAGCAGCAUGAAAAUUUUGCUAGAAAUGGCUAGUAAAGUUGCCUGCGAAAAGUUCUUGCUAUUUGUGCUCAGUGAGGGAGAGCAGGAAUUAGUAUAUGACACUAAUCAAAAAGAGAUAAAAAAGAGACAGAUAAUUGACUUCUUCAUGGGUGCUGAUAAUCCAAUGAGAGAUACGCACAAGUUAUUUUACUUUCAAACAACUAUCAGUGAGCCAAAUGGAGCAGAAGCUCAGAAAAAAGAGAGGAGUACAAGAGAAAGCUUUCUUCUUCCUAGCAACUCUAUCUGCUAUCAAAUCUCAUCAGAAUCUUCACUCAUACCUUGCUUUCUCAAAACUAUGCAAGAGUACAAAGAAGAAUUUACAAAGCUGCCACUAAGAGACAUAUUAGCCCAUACAAGGAAGGAAGGAAAAAAGAGUGUUUCCCCAAAGGAAAUUAUAUGCUUCCAUGGCAGUUCAAAUCCAUCACAUAAUGAGCAUGCUGCUGAUAUGACAGUACAUUGCAACAAAGAAGACAUGUUGCUAGGAUAUUUGAUGUUAGUACCACAAAUUAAACUGACCAUUAAUCUCAAACUAAGGAAGAUCUAUACAAAAGAAGCUAUCAGUGGAACAGAACAAGACACUUUCUUUUGCUUGUUCUUCUUUCAUGAAUAUGAUGACAUCACCGGACAAAGUCUACAAACCUUUGAGGCAACAUUAACAGGCCAGGCACAAAAAAGCAAAGACCUCAUUAAAGCAAGAAGCAUCUGCCUGAUAGAGGAGGAACUACAUAAAAUUAUUGACAAUACAAUCAAAUCCUUUCCAGUAACAGAAGCAUUAAAGCAAGAGCUUCACACUUACCAAAUGUGUUCAAGGUGGACGAUGACAGCUUUUUUUGAAAGCAUGACUCAAACACAAUGCACCGAUCCUAAGGAUGUGAUGCGUGUCCACAGUGAGUAUGCUGAUUUCUCCCUUGGAGUGGUCAAACUUAUAAGAAACGAAUUAGAGAAAAUCAAAGAUCAAACUCCACACAUCGAUCAGCCAUUAGAAGAGCAGAAUAAAUAAGCAAAGGCUAGUGAUAUGACCAUAUCAAUUGACAGUCAUCUCCACAAAAAACAAACUGCAAUCAGUGUGAAAACAAAGGUACUACAGCAGGUACCAUAGUGUACAUGGACAACAGAGUCAAUUUGUAUUCAAGAAACAUCAAUUUACUAUUAAUAUACAUUCUAUAACAUUUUUAACUGAAAAUCAAAUUUUUGACAGUUAUUGUUGGACUAUUGUUCUUCUCCACAAUGAGAAAAUAUAUUCACGCAAGGAUGAUGUAAUUUUGUGACUAUUUUUACAGUUUUAAUCUGAACUGCUA
rnacentral:misc_RNA from 1 species